UUAAGUCUUAUGGUCUUCAUUUAAUUUUGAUGUACGUAUAUGUACGAAUAUCCCUGCUAUUUGAUCAAGAUGUGCAUAUGUUGAGUGAAUUUAAUUUCUUAGUAUUAGUAAAAUAAC